rnacentral:rRNA from 1 species
AUUGAACGCUGGCGGCAGGCUUAACACAUGCAAGUCGAACGAUGAUUAUCUAGCUUGCUAGUUAUGAUUAGUGGCGGACGGGUGAGUAACAUUUAGGAAUCUGCCUAGUAGUGGGGGAUAGCUCGGGGAAACUCGAAUUAAUACCGCAUACGACCUACGGGUGAAAGGGGGCGCAAGCUCUUGCUAUUAGAUGAGCCUAAAUCAGAUUAGCUAGUUGGUGGGGUAAAGGCCUACCAAGGCGACGAUCUGUAACUGGUCUGAGAGGAUGAUCAGUCACACCGGAACUGAGACACGGUCCGGACUCCUACGGGAGGCAGCAGUGGGGAAUAUUGGACAAUGGGGGCAACCCUGAUCCAGCCAUGCCGCGUGUGUGAAGAAGGCCUUUUGGUUGUAAAGCACUUUAAGCAGGGAGGGGAGGCUAAUGGUUAAUACCCAUUAGAUUAGACGUUACAUGCAGAAUAAGCACCGGCUAACUCUGUGCCAGCAGCCGCGGUAAUACAGAGGGUGCGAGCGUUAAUCGGAAUUACUGGGCGUAAAGCGAGUGUAGGUGGCUCAUUAAGUCACAUGUGAAAUCCCCGGGCUUAACCUGGGAACUGCAUGUGAUACUGGUGGUGCUAGAAUAUGUGAGAGGGAAGUAGAAUUCCAGGUGUAGCGGUGAAAUGCGUAGAGAUCUGGAGGAAUACCGAUGGCGAAGGCAGCUUCCUGGCAUAAUAUUGACACUGAGAUUCGAAAGCGUGGGUAGCAAACAGGAUUAGAUACCCUGGUAGUCCACGCCGUAAACGAUGUCUACUAGCCGUUGGGGUCCUUGAGACUUUAGUGGCGCAGUUAACGCGAUAAGUAGACCGCCUGGGGAGUACGGCCGCAAGGUUAAAACUCAAAUGAAUUGACGGGGGCCCGCACAAGCGGUGGAGCAUGUGGUUUAAUUCGAUGCAACGCGAAGAACCUUACCUGGUCUUGACAUAGUGAGAAUCCUGCAGAGAUGCGGGAGUGCCUUCGGGAAUUCACAUACAGGUGCUGCAUGGCUGUCGUCAGCUCGUGUCGUGAGAUGUUGGGUUAAGUCCCGCAACGAGCGCAACCCUUUUCCUUAUUUGCCAGCGGGUUAAGCCGGGAACUUUAAGGAUACUGCCAGUGACAAACUGGAGGAAGGCGGGGACGACGUCAAGUCAUCACGGCCCUUACGACCAGGGCUACACACGUGCUACAAUGGUAGGUACAGAGGGUUGCUACACAGCGAUGUGAUGCUAAUCUCAAAAAGCCUAUCGUAGUCCGGAUUGGAGUCUGCAACUCGGCUCCAUGAAGUCGGAAUCGCUAGUAAUCGCAGAUCAGAAUGCUGCGGUGAAUACGUUCCCGGGCCU